AGAGUUUGAUCCUGGCUCAGGACGAACGCUGGCGGCACGCUUAACACAUGCAAGUCGAACGAGAGAAGAGGAGCUUGCUUUUCUGAUCUAGUGGCGGACGGGUGAGUAACACGUGAGCAAUCUGCCUUUCAGAGGGGGAUACCGAUUGGAAACGAUCGUUAAUACCGCAUAACAUAAUUGAACCGCAUGAUUUGAUUAUCAAAGAUUUAUCGCUGAAAGAUGAGCUCGCGUCUGAUUAGCUAGUUGGUAAGGUAACGGCUUACCAAGGCGACGAUCAGUAGCCGGACUGAGAGGUUGAUCGGCCACAUUGGGACUGAGACACGGCCCAGACUCCUACGGGAGGCAGCAGUGGGGAAUAUUGCACAAUGGAGGAAACUCUGAUGCAGCGACGCCGCGUGAGGGAAGAAGGUUUUAGGAUUGUAAACCUCUGUCUUCAGGGACGAAAAAAGACGGUACCUGAGGAGGAAGCUCCGGCUAACUACGUGCCAGCAGCCGCGGUAAUACGUAGGGAGCGAGCGUUGUCCGGAAUUACUGGGUGUAAAGGGAGCGUAGGCGGGAUCGCAAGUCAGAUGUGAAAACUAUGGGCUUAACCCAUAAACUGCAUUUGAAACUGUGGUUCUUGAGUGAAGUAGAGGUAAGCGGAAUUCCUAGUGUAGCGGUGAAAUGCGUAGAUAUUAGGAGGAACAUCAGUGGCGAAGGCGGCUUACUGGGCUUUAACUGACGCUGAGGCUCGAAAGCGUGGGGAGCAAACAGGAUUAGAUACCCUGGUAGUCCACGCCGUAAACGAUGAUUACUAGGUGUGGGGGGACUGACCCCUUCCGUGCCGCAGCAAACGCAAUAAGUAAUCCACCUGGGGAGUACGACCGCAAGGUUGAAACUCAAAGGAAUUGACGGGGGCCCGCACAAGCAGUGGAGUAUGUGGAUUAAUUCGAAGCAACGCGAAGAACCUUACCAGGUCUUGACAUCAUAUGCAUAGCUCAGAGAUGAGUGAAAUCUCUUCGGAGACAUAUAGACAGGUGGUGCAUGGUUGUCGUCAGCUCGUGUCGUGAGAUGUUGGGUUAAGUCCCGCAACGAGCGCAACCCUUACUGUUAGUUGCUACGCAAGAGCACUCUAGCAGGACUGCCGUUGACAAAACGGAGGAAGGUGGGGAUGACGUCAAAUCAUCAUGCCCCUUAUGACCUGGGCCUCACACGUACUACAAUGGCUGUCAACAGAGGGAAGCAAAGCCGCGAGGUGGAGCGAACCCCUAAAAGCAGUCUUAGUUCGGAUUGUAGGCUGCAACCCGCCUACAUGAAGUCGGAAUUGCUAGUAAUCGCAGAUCAGCAUGCUGCGGUGAAUACGUUCCCGGGCCUUGUACACACCGCCCGUCACGCCAUGGGAGUCGGUAACACCCGAAGCCUGUAGUCUAACCGCAAGGAGGACGCAGUCGAAGGUGGGAUUGAUGACUGGGGUGAAGUCGUAACAAGGUA
rnacentral:rRNA from 1 species